rnacentral:rRNA from 1 species
AGUCGAACGAUGAACCACUUCGGUGGGGAUUAGUGGCGAACGGGUGAGUAACACGUGGGCAAUCUGCCCUGCACUCUGGGACAAGCCCUGGAAACGGGGUCUAAUACCGGAUACGAGCCUCCUCCGCAUGGUGGGGGUUGGAAAGCUCCGGCGGUGCAGGAUGAGCCCGCGGCCUAUCAGCUUGUUGGUGAGGUAACGGCUCACCAAGGCGACGACGGGUAGCCGGCCUGAGAGGGCGACCGGCCACACUGGGACUGAGACACGGCCCAGACUCCUACGGGAGGCAGCAGUGGGGAAUAUUGCACAAUGGGCGAAAGCCUGAUGCAGCGACGCCGCGUGAGGGAUGAAGGCCUUCGGGUUGUAAACCUCUUUCAGCAGGGAAGAAGCGAAAGUGACGGUACCUGCAGAAGAAGCGCCGGCUAACUACGUGCCAGCAGCCGCGGUAAUUC